UACGGGAGGCAGCAGUGGGGAAUAUUGGGCAAUGGGGGAAACCCUGACCCAGCAACGCCGCGUGAAGGAAGAAGGCUUUCGGGUUGUAAACUUCUUUUAACAGGGAAGAUAAUGACGGUACCUGUUGAAUAAGCCACGGCUAACUACGUGCCAGCAGCCGCGGUAAU
rnacentral:rRNA from 1 species